rnacentral:rRNA from 1 species
UAGGGAAUCUUCCGCAAUGGGCGAAAGCCUGACGGAGCAACGCCGCGUGAGUGAUGAAGGUCUUCGGAUCGUAAAACUCUGUUAUUAGGGAAGAACAAAUGUGUAAGUAACUAUGCACGUCUUGACGGUACCUAAUCAGAAAGCCACGGCUAACUACGUGCCAGCAGCCGCGGUAAUACGUAGGUGGCAAGCGUUAUCCGGAAUUAUUGGGCGUAAAGCGCGCGUAGGCGGUUUUUUAAGUCUGAUGUGAAAGCCCACGGCCAAACCGUGGAGGGUCAUUGGAAACUGGAAAACUUGAGUGCAGAAGAGGAAAGUGGAAUUCCAUGUGUAGCGGUGAAAUGCGCAGAGAUAUGGAGGAACACCAGUGGCGAAGGCGACUUUCUGGUCUGUAACUGACGCUGAUGUGCGAAAGCGUGGGGAUCAAACAGG